AUUAACAAAAUAAAAUAAAUAUACUAUCACGAAAGGGGGUGAGCUAAACAAAUAUGUUUAUUUUAUAAUACGUAGUAUAGUAUUUUUAUAAUAUGUGUUUAGGGGUGAUAGGCUUUUCAAGCUUUCUGAUAACUUGAUUCAUAUGAAAAGUAUUUAGUACCAAAACAUACUUAAAAAGUUAAGCUUUUAAGUAACUAUUAAACAUAUUUUUUAAUCUAAUGUAGUAUAAUAACUAGUUAUUAAUAAUCUUAAUAUUUUUUAUAUGUUUUUAUAAUAAAUAGUAUGAUAGCAUGAAUUAUUUUAGUGUUUGAUAAUGUUAAUAUUAGUAGUAUUUGUUUAAAUGUGUUAAAGGAACUCGGCAAAUAACUUCUCAACUGUUUAUCAAAAACAUAGCUAUGUGAAUUAAUAUAUAGUUAUUUCUGCUCCAUGAUUAUUAAAUAGCCGCAGUACUCUGACUGUGCAAAGGUAGCAUAAUCAGUUGGCUUUUAAUUAAAGUCUGGUAUGAAUGAAAAUAUGGGUAGUAACUGUCUUUAACAUAGUAAUCUGAAUUUAUUAAGCAAGUGCAAAUACUUGCAAGUUUAAAAAAGACGAGAAGACCCUAGAAACUUGAAAUAGUUUUUGUUGGGGCGACAGAAUUACAUUUAACUAAUUUUAAAUACACGACAUUUAAUUGAAAGAAUAAGUUACUCUAGGGAUAACAGCAUAAUUUUAACAGUUUGUGACCUCGAUGUUGGACUAGGUAUUAUAUUCUUAAGACAAGGAUAUAAAAUGCUCUGUUCGAGCAAUUUUACCUACAU
rnacentral:rRNA from 1 species